rnacentral:lncRNA from 1 species
AGGCCACAUGGCACUUCCUACCAUCAAGCAAGCCAAAGCGUAAGCCAUGAUGAUGAAGACGAAGGGGCUAAUUCUUUGAAGACCCCACAUGGCCAACUGAAGCUGACAAGAGCUAACCCUCCAGAGACCCUAUAUGACUCACUGAAGCCAAUAGGAACUAACCCUCUGGCGAUCCCACACAGCCCACUGAAGCUGACAGGAGCUAACCCUCCAAA